AAAAGACCAGUAGGGUUUGACCUGAGGAGCCCCACCGGUGCCUUGUAUCACCCGAAUCAAGGAACUCAAAUGGAAAUCAGCCUGGAUUUCCAAGCUGAGAAGACAGCAUUGAUCUCCAGCCCGGGGUGAGAACCUGAAGAUGAGUCGUUAAAGGGAUGGAGUAGCAGGGAGGAUCUGGGAGAAGGAUGUGGAGUAACCUGCUGCUUCAUGCAAUAAUCCGGUGUUUCAUGGUUCUGAAGACCUGCCCUACUGUCUCCCAGCAGCCUAGGCAUUUUGUAUCACCCAGCGGCAAUGUACAUGGGUUCCAGUUUCUCUACCUUCUCAGCAGCGUUUGCUCUUUCCUGUUUUGUUUUGCUAUAACUAUCCUACAGAGUGUGAAAUGGUACCAUCUUUAAUCAGACAUAUAGCCUGCAAAUGUAUAUACUUAUUGAAAUUUUGUUUGUUUUUUAACUGUAUGUACUUGUGCCUGUGUAUUUAUGUGUACCACAUGAGUGCAGGUGCCUGAGGAGGCCAGGGGGCAUUGGGCCCCAGGAACUGGAGUUACAGAUGGUUUUGAGUCAUCUAAUGUGGGUGUCAGGAACCAAGCUCAGGUCUUCCUCAGGAUCAAUACGUGCUCUGAGGUGCUGAGCCGUUGCUCCAAUGUUUACGCUGCCAUUAGAUACAGGGCUUGCAAAUAUUUCCCCUGUACCACUGGUUGGCUGCCUUUUGCACUUCUUUAACGAUGCCCCUAGAUACACAAAAGUUUCUAAUUUUGAUGUUCAGUUCACUCCUUUGUUGCUGUUGCCUGUGCUCUUUCCAUCAAGAACAAAGGACAACUCCAGCAUCGUGAAGUAUCCCUCUGUGUUUUCUUAAGUUUUAUGCCUUUAGUUCCUACAUGUAAGGCUUUGAUGUAUUUUGAGAGUUAUUAAAUAUGUUCUGUGUGUCCA